AUGAUGGUGAUGUACAACCUCACCAGAGUACCAAUUGGAGGGCAAGUCUGGUGCCAGCAGCCGCGGUAAUUCCAGCUCCAAUAGCGUAUAUUAAACUUGUUGCAGUUAAAAAGCUCGUAGUUGUAUUUCAGCCUCGCGUUUUUUCCCUGGUUUUGGGUCUUUUCGCUGGCUUUUUUUUUACUUUGAGAAAAUUAGAGUGUUUCAAGCAGACUUUUGUCUUGAAUACUUCAGCAUGGAAUAAUAGAGUAGGACCUUGG
rnacentral:rRNA from 1 species